GAUAAUGAUAUUGUAACGGAAUGCAGUCCAGCUUAUGCUACAACUGAAUUUAAAACAAAUACUGCUGAUGAUGUAUCAGUGAAGGAUGGUCCAACAUAUGAUACAGUACAACAAAGUGAACAAACACAAUCAACUGUUGAGCCAGUGUAUGAUACAACUAAUGAUGAAUAUGAGACUUCUCUUCCACCACCUUCUACUGAAUAUGAAAUACCAACUGUUUAAUAAUGGACUCUUCUUUUUAUGUUCUCAUAAUGUAUUUGAUGUGCAUACAACAUAACGUUACCAGUGGAUAAUAUUAUAUAAGAUGUGUUUGUGUUACAAUAAUAGAAAUGCUUAAUAAU